CUCCACCCUCCUAACUAGAUGCUUGCCUAUCAAUAUGACUAACCAUAGCACUGCUGUUAUUGAGAAGAAGAUUUUUACAGAUAUUAAAUAUUUGCUCUAUAGUCUCAAUAUACCUGGCGAAUUGCCAAUAUGAAGCUAAAGUGACCAGGGUUAAAAUGUAAAUAUGUUAAAAGAGUAUUUUAUAGAAUUUAAAUAGUUUCAUUGUUAUUGAUAUCUGUAUUAAUAUAGGGAGGUGACCAUUCUACAUUGAUCCAGUGCCUUUUUAUGGGAUUCGAAACUGUGACUGUGAGAUGUAUGAGAGUUUGACUUCUAGGCGGGCAAUUCUACUUUCACUUUAAACGGAUGGCAGGUGCCUGAGUGUAUCUCGACCCAUUUCCAGGCUAGCAUCAGAUGUCAUGAUGGACCUUUAAAAUCUUUCACAUGUGUACUUUCAAGAACCAUAUACAUUAUUUUUGAAAAUUGGUUGCCAUGGUAAUAAAAUCUGAAAAUUAAAA